GACUUGAAAAAUGACGAAAUCACUAAAAUAUGUGAAAAAUGAGAAAUGCACACUGUAGGACCAGGAAUAUGGCAAGAAAACUGAAAAUCACGGAAAAUGAGAAAUACACACUUUAGGACGUGAAAUAUGGCGAGGAAAACAGAAAAAGGUGGAAAAUUUAGAAAUGUCCACUGUAGGACAUGGAAUAUGGCAAGAAAACUGAAAAUCAUGAAAAAUGAGAAACAUCCACUUGACGUCUUGAAAAAAGACGAAAUCACUAAAAACGUGAAAAAUGAGAAAUGCACACUGUAGGACCUGGAAUAUGGCGAGAAAACUGAAAAUCACGGAAAAUGAGAAAUACACACUUUAGGACGUGAAAUAUGGCGAGGAAAACUGAAAAAGGUGGAAAAUUUAGAAAUUUCCACUGUAGGACAUGGAAUAUGGCAAGAAAACUGAAAAUCAUGGAAAAUGAGAAACAUCCUCUUGACGACUUGAAAAAUGACGAAAUCACUGAAAAACGUGAAAAAUGAGAAAUGCACACUGUAGGACCUGAAAUAUGGCAAGAAAACUGAAAAUCACGGAAAAUGAGAAAUACACACUUUAGGCAUGAAAUAUGGCGAGGAAAACUGAAAAAGGUGGAAAAUUUAGAAAUGUCCACUGUAGGACAUGGAAUAUGGCAAGAAAACUGAAAAUCAUGGAAAAUGAGAAACAUCCACUUGACGACUUGAAAAAUGACGAAAUCACUGAAAAACGUGAAAAAUGAGAAAUGCACACUGUAGGACUUGGAAUAUGGCGAGAAAACUGAAAAUCACGGAAAAUGAGAAAUACACACUUUAGGCGUGAAAUAUGGCGAGGAAAACAGAAAAAGGUGGAAAAUUUAGAAAUGUCCACUGUAGGACAUGGAAUAUGGCAAGAAAACUGAAAAUCAUGGAAAAUGAGAAACAUCCACUUGACGACUUGAAAAAAGACGAAAUC
rnacentral:lncRNA from 1 species